rnacentral:sRNA from 1 species
GAGUUAGACUGUAGGACGAUCUCGGGCACCACGUGUUCCUGGUACUCGCCGGCCGGAGCCCCCGGCUUCCCGGGGCCGGGGGACCUUAGCGGCACCCACACACAGCCUACUUUCCAAGCGGAGCCAUGUCUGGUAACGGCAAUGCGGCUGCAACGGCGCUUGCUCGCAUACAGACGGACAGUGUGGUGGCAACAUUGAAAGCCUUGUACCCUGGCCUGCAGUUUGAAAUCAGUGAGUUUUCUGGAAAGGAGUGGAAGCUAAUGGGAAGCCCAGUACCCCAAGAGGGGAGAACACAACAUUUCUGGCUUUGCCUAUAGCUGAAGCCCGUCCUGCUGCCCCGAGAUUCCCUCUGGGCUGCUCCCAGUUCCGAAGGUGCUUUCCUCUGAAUACCUCCAGCUCUGACUACCUGGAUUAGCCUGGCAUUUAACAUCUUGAGCUUUGGGUCUGUUUAUGAGUGUUUCUGGUCUUCCUGCUUGAUUGUAUAUACUCAGAGGGCAGGAAUCAGGGAUUAUGUGCCUCUGUCCCCAUCAUGAAUCGUAGCACAGUGCUAGGCUCAGUAAAUGCUGAUCAAUAAUGAGCACCUGAUUGAUCGACUCUCUCCUCAGUUGCUAUGUCCACCACAGGGGACAAGAUUCUUGAUACCGCACUCUCUAAGAUUGGAGAGAAGAGCCUGUUUACCAAGGAGCUUGAACAUGCCCUGGAGAAGAAUGAAGUGGACCUGGUUGUUCAUUCCUUGAAGGACCUGCCCACUGUGCUUCCUCCUGGCUUCACCAUCGGAGCCAUUUGCAAGCGGGAAAACCCUCAUGAUGCUGUUGUCUUUCACCCAAAAUUUGCUGGGAAGACCCUAGAAACCCUGCCAGAGAAGAGUGUGGUGGGAACCAGCUCCCUGCGGAGAGCAGCCCAGCUGCAGAGAAAGUUCCCGCAUCUGGAGUUCAGGAGUAUUCGGGGAAACCUCAACACCCGGCUUCGGAAGCUGGACGAGCAGCAGGAGUUCAGUGCCAUCAUCCUGGCAACAGCUGGCCUGCAGCGCAUGGGCUGGCACAACCGGGUGGGGCAGAUCCUGCACCCUGAGGAAUGCAUGUAUGCUGUGGGCCAGGGGGCCUUGGGCGUGGAAGUCCGAGCCAAGGACCAGGACAUCUUGGAUCUGGUGGGUGUGCUGCACGAUCCCGAGACUCUGCUUCGCUGCAUCGCUGAAAGGGCCUUCCUGAGGCACCUGGAAGGAGGCUGCAGUGUGCCAGUAGCUGUGCAUACAGCUAUGAAGGAUGGGCAACUGUACCUGACUGGAGGAGUCUGGAGUCUAGACGGCUCAGAUAGCAUACAAGAGACCAUGCAGGCUACCAUCCAUGUCCCUGCCCAGCAUGAAGAUGGCCCUGAGGAUGACCCACAGUUGGUAGGCAUCACUGCUCGUAACAUUCCACGAGGGCCCCAGUUGGCUGCCCAGAACUUGGGCAUCAGCCUGGCCAACUUGCUGCUGAGCAAAGGAGCCAAAAACAUCCUGGAUGUUGCACGGCAGCUUAACGAUGCCCAUUAACUGGUUUGUGGGG